GCACUCAUGACCUGAAACACGGGUGCCGGCACCCAGGCUGGAACUGAACUGGGUUUGCAUCUUGAAGGCAGGCACAUUUCCCAAGAAAAAUAAAAUGGCAGCCUGGGUUUGAAAAGCUGACAUCCUCCGCACACCACAGCCAUCCUUCUGGAGCAAAACCAGCUGAGACCGCACCAGCCCCACGGAACGGCUGCCCGCGACAGAUAAAGGGCCCAGAAGCCGUUUCUGACCAUUGUGUUUGCCUCCAGGGAAGAGAAACACCGAUGUUCCCACCCCCCACACCCGGCUACUUAUGGGAGGGAGGAAGGGAAGCAAACUCACCUAACAUCUCUUCCUUUAGUCUUUCGUUUCGUUCUUCGAUUUGCUUAGGUAAUCUCUGAGGGGAAAGAGGAGAAACGGGUCGG